rnacentral:rRNA from 1 species
GACGAAGGGGGCUAGCGUUGUUCGGAAUUACUGGGCGUAAAGCGCGUGUAGGCGGUUAUCCAAGUCAGGUGUGAAAGCCUUGAGCUCAACUCAAGAAAUGCACUUGGUACUGGGUGACUAGAGGACCGGAGAGGAUAGUGGAAUUCCCAGUGUAGUGGUGAAAUACGUAGAGAUUGGGAAGAACACCAGUGGCGAAGGCGGCUAUCUGGACGGUUUCUGACGCUAAGACGCGAAAGCGUGGGGAGCAACAGG